rnacentral:rRNA from 1 species
UACGUAGGGGGCUAGCGUUGUCCGGAUUUAUUGGGCGUAAAGAGCGUGUAGGCGGCCAGGUAGGUCCGUUGUGAAAACUCGAGGCUCAACCUCGAGACGCCGAUGGAAACCAUCUGGCUAGAGUCCGGAAGAGGAGAGUGGAAUUCCUGGUGUAGCGGUGAAAUGCGCAGAUAUCAGGAAGAACACCCGUGGCUAAGGCGGCUCUCUAGUACGGUACUGACGCUGAGACGCGAAAGCGUGGGGAGCGAACAGG